rnacentral:lncRNA from 1 species
UUCAACGUUGUUUCAACGUUGGUUGAAAAUGUGCUAAUUAAAAAACGUUGAAAAAGUGUUACUUUGCCAACGUUAAUAAAACGUUGAUUUGACAAUGUUAAGGAAGUGGCACAUUAAAAAUUAUUGUCUCAAUAACUAGCCAUUACAAAAAUAAUUUGCCGUAAUGGAAAGGCAAGGAAAACUUGAUAGAAUGCAUGCAUAUGGUUUGAAGCAGAGGCAGUUGUUCCAUCUUGUUCGAAAAAAGAUGGAUGGUUAUUUUGGUCAACUUGUGUUCAUGCAAUGAAAGCUACCUAUAAUAAUUUUUCAAUCAUUGACUCCUGCAACAAACUUAGACUUAAAAGAGUUAAAGUAACUGGAGAUAAAGAAGUAUGUGCAGGAUUUAAUUUCACGACUAAAGAGGACUCCGAAGAAGAAUGCAUUAAAGUUCUGUUGGAUCAAAGAUCGAGGAAUGAUUUGGUUUUAACUGGUUUGCAUCUUAUAAACGAAGUACAUAAUAUGAUUUAAAUUGAUGAUUUAUAGUUACGCCUAUUGAAAUUCUGUAUCUCAAUGA